GAUGAACGCUAGCGGCAGGCUUAACACAUGCAAGUCGAGGGGUAUAGGUUUUCGGACCUAGAGACCGGCGCACGGGUGCGUAACGCGUAUGCAAUCUACCUUUCACAGAGGGAUAGCCAGAGAAAUUUGGAUUAAUACCUCAUAGUAUAGCAGUUUCGCAUGAAACCACUAUUAAAGUAUCAACGGUGAAAGAUGAGCAUGCGUCCCAUUAGCUAGAUGGUAAGGUAACGGCUUACCAUGGCUACGAUGGGUAGGGGUCCUGAGAGGGAGAUCCCCCACACUGGUACUGAGACACGGACCAGGCUCCUACGGGAGGCAGCAGUGAGGAAUAUUGGUCAAUGGACGCAAGUCUGAACCAGCCAUGCCGCGUGCAGGAUGACGGUCCUAUGGAUUGUAAACUGCUUUUGUACGAGAAGAAACAACAUUACGUGUAAUGUCUUGACGGUAUCGUAAGAAUAAGGAUCGGCUAACUCCGUGCCAGCCGCCGCAGUAAGAC
rnacentral:rRNA from 1 species